rnacentral:lncRNA from 1 species
GAGAUCACCUCCAUUGUAGUGUUUAUUGAGUUAUGGUCCUUGGAAAGGUGUAAGUAAUUCCAUCUUUACCAUUAUUUGCUAUCAAUUUGUGAGCUCUACCUUUCUUGGGUGAUUUGGAGCUUGUUUAAAGCUAUAUCUACUGUUGCCUAUCCUUACAUAAUCACAUGGAUGGUACCUUUCCAGAGAACUGGCAAAAAGACCAGUAAUUUCAUUCUCCACAGAUCAGCUCCUGAAGACCCUAGAAAAAAGGGUUUUUGGUGGAUGGCACAGCCCUCAACCAACCUGCUCAGCUACAGCUGAGAGACAAGAGUCCGCUGGUUUCAACAUCAAGUUGGCUAACUUUUACAGUGAUGUGACUUGCCAAUUGAAAACCAUCAAUGGCUUUGCCUAAAUUAGAAAGUAAACCAGGAAGAUGUUUCCUGUAUGUGUAGCUGGUCAAUGCAUCCAUACAGAAGAUACGUUCCAGAACAAGUGCUUGCCAUCAUUAAGAAGUUGCAUCUUGUCCUUGUUUCCCAAUUGUUUGAUGGUAUUAAUGGAAGCAAAAAGAACAUUCAAGAUACCUUCUUGGUACUUCUCUUACUACUCCAGAGUCCUAACCAAGGCCAUGAGCUCUGCUAUUGCAGAAAAUGUGAAUGCAAGGACUAUGGAAAUACUGGAUAUUGGAGAGUUUCUUUCUCUGGAAGACCUGUAGAUCAUCAGCACUCAAGCUAUAACUCGGUUUGGACCUCCUUCAUGACUGGAUUCUGCUACUCUCUCCCCAGACUAGCUACAGGUGAUCACUGAGGUUCAACUCAUUGAGUACUCAAGUGUGUUUGCAUGGGAGCAGGAGGAAGGAUGGAGGAUCUAAAGGUAUCCUGGUUACAACAGCAACAUAACUGAAUCAGCUUUAAUGGCUGGCUGAAGCUAGCACUGUAUCCUGGCAUCCAGCAUGGGCUGCAACACUGAGUGACAAUUCAGGCUACAGCUGGUUUAGGCUGAGUUUUAUGGUGUGUGACUAGCAAAGUAGCUAAGCUAGCUCACUGAUGCUCUCCCAAAUUAUUUCUAUCUUAACAAUACAGGUAGGCCCAAGCAUGGAGGCAGUUACCUAUUAGUGGUUCAAGAACUAUCUAAAAUAUUUAAACAUUUUGAGAUGUUCUUCUGGAAAUGAAAAUAAAAAGCAAACUAGUUCUGGAAGCCUCA